GUAUUUGUUAUAUAGUAAUUAGUUUCAGUCCAUGUGCUUACUAUGAGACGCGUUGAGACAAAUAUAAUUGGCAGGUUGAGGAGAUAGCAAUUGCUCCCUCACUUGCAAUCCUGCCAAUAGACAUUUCAUUAGUUCACACAAGGUGGAUAUGGAUAAAUUAUCCAUGAAAAGGACAAUUUGUUAAUGAUCCUUCCGCAGGUUCACCUACGGAAA
rnacentral:misc_RNA from 1 species